rnacentral:lncRNA from 1 species
GGCGGCGUGGGGACCAGCGCGGGCCGGGGCAGCUGGUACCUGGGAUCGGGCAGGACGGUCCUCUUGCUGGCGCGGGCGGCCGGAGUCGCCUUGCUCUUCUCCAUGGCCAUCAGGUAAUGAUGAAGCCCCUGCUCUGGUCCAAGCUACCUGUGAACAGCGCCCAGCGGGCCGGGCCCCCAACCUCGCUCCUGAACGUACCCGCAAGCCCGCCGUGAGAAUUCAGCGAAGAGUAAAGGCUGGAGAAAGUUGCGUGUCUCAGGCUAAGCAGAGCAAAGUGGGGUGAGGGCUUCGCCGCUAGGAACAGAGAUGCCCUUAGGGAGCCCCCUGAUGGAAGAGCUCUCUGCUUAAGAAGGUCAGCACGCCCUUACACUCAGGUGAGAGGUUUUAGUUUGGGUGUUGAAAUAGAAGGAGAGAGAGUAUUCCUGCCCUUAGGGUUUUACGGUCAAUACAAGAGACAAUUAGGGAGCAUCUGCUGCGAGCACGCUCGCACCACGAGGGUGAUUUAGGGAAGUGGAAAAGCAAGAUACAGCCCAAACACCGAAGCUGGGGGGUAAUUUCCAGCUUCCCA